UACGUAGGGUGCGAGCGUUGUCCGGAAUUAUUGGGCGUAAAGAGCUUGUAGGCGGUUUGUCGCGUCUGCCGUGAAAGUCCGGGGCUCAACUCCGGAUCUGCGGUGGGUACGGGCAGACUAGAGUGAUGUAGGGGAGACUGGAAUCCUGGUGUAGCGGUGAAAUGCGCAGAUAUCAGGAGGAACACCGGUGGCGAAGGCGGGUCUCUGGGCCGUAACUGACGCUGAGGAGCGAAAGCGUGGGGAGCGAACAGG
rnacentral:rRNA from 1 species